GACGAACGCUGGCGGCGUGCUUAACACAUGCAAGUCGAACGCUGAACCCGCUUCGGUGGGGGAUGAGUGGCGAACGGGUGAGUAACACGUGGGCAACCUGCCCCCGGCUCUGGGAUAACUCCAAGAAAUUGGGGCUAAUACCGGAUGUUCACUGCUGGCCGCAUGGUCGGUGGUGGAAAGGGUUUCCGGCUGGGGAUGGGCCCGCGGCCUAUCAGCUUGUUGGUGGGGUAGUGGCCUACCAAGGCGACGACGGGUAGCCGGCCUGAGAGGGUGACCGGCCACACUGGGACUGAGACACGGCCCAGACUCCUACGGGAGGCAGCAGUGGGGAAUAUUGCGCAAUGGGCGGAAGCCUGACGCAGCGACGCCGCGUGGGGGAUGACGGCCUCGGUUG
rnacentral:rRNA from 1 species